rnacentral:rRNA from 1 species
GACGAACCGUGCGAACGUUGUUCGGAAUCACUGGGCUUAAAGGGCGCGUAGGCGGGCCAUAAAGUCAGGGGUGAAAUCCUCCAGCUUAACUGGAGAACUGCCUUUGAUACUGAUGGUCUCGAGUAAGGUAGGGGCAUGCGGAACUGAUGGUGGAGCGGUGAAAUGUGUUGAUAUCAUCAGGAACACCGGUGGCGAAGGCGGCUAUCUGGACGACAACUGACGCUGAGG